UGAGCCUGGAGCAGAAACUACUGAGCGCAGAGAACAUUCCCACUAUAUUUCCAUUUUUCCUUCUGCAGGCAUCUCCUUGCGACUCGUUUGUAGCUCACCUGAGCCUGACAUUUGCCAAGGAAGAUGCAGCGUCUGUUUAUAGCACCUGGAGUGGGAAGUUUGCAUUCCGCAAUCAGGCCCGCUGCUUGAUGGCUAUUCUUAAAGCGGUUAUUCUUCACUCUGUCUGUAUGUGUGAGGAAUGCACAACUAUAUGCCCAAAGUCUCAAGAGAUGUCAAGAGUACCUCGGUGGAAAAAUGUUUUCGAAUAGCUUCCCUUGUACAGAACGUUUGUGUGUGUAUUCAUUUGAGAAAAAAAUUAUACUGCAAUGGCAUAAAAAGCAAUAAAACAUAAAAUAAUAAACCAAAAAACCAAAACAAAAAAUAGGUAUCAAUUUGUCAGUUUGCAUUUCUUAGUGCAGAAAGUAUUGAUCUGAUGUGUAGAGAUCUUUCCUAUUCUACUUAAUUCAAGAGGGUUGUGGAAGCUUCAGGAAGCUUCUCUGUGUGAAAGAAACAAGCAGAAGGUUCAUGAUAUUUGGGUUAUUCCUUCAGAGAAGCUGAGUACAGCUGGCUUAAACUGGUUCUGCUAUCUCUUUCUGUCAAGGUCGUGCUGACUAUAAGUUUCUCUUUCUAUCUCUUUUCCUUCU
rnacentral:lncRNA from 1 species